ensembl:lncRNA
AUGCCGCGCUGCGCCGGCUCCAGGUGGAUGGCGGUGGGACGCGCUGCCUUCUCUCUUCAAACUGCGCGUUUGUUUGUUUAUGCCUGUCUGUCUGUCUGUAUGUAUGUACGUUUUCAGCGCUGGCUCAGAAUACGGUAUCCGCUUCGUGUCAAAACCGCGCAGGUCUUAAGGGUAAAGUGCUGAGAGUUCCUCCAGAGAGAGCCCUGCUCGCAGACGUGGCAGCGGGCACGGCGGGUCUGGGGAUGUGUCAGCAGCCCCCGUUGGUUUCUGCACAAAUACACAUCGUUAUGGCCGUAUUCUCAAUAUAUGCUGAUGGUAUUCAUAUCGGUGCGGUCGUAGUUUGAUUUCCCAAGGUGGGGGGGGAAAAAAAAAGAGCAAAGCGAAAAAGACAUAGGUUGAAGUUGCUGCUGCCGUGUGCCGCAGUCAAGCCCCCGUUGGCACGCAGCACAGCCUGUGUUCUGCUGUGUCACAUCUCAGCCCUUCCUACCCAGCGCUCCCCAGCAGCUCCCUGCCCGAGCUCUGCCAUCUUUUACCCCUGCUGAGCAGUGUUGGCUGGAGCGGUGCUGUCAUACGGCGAGGUUAGGGAGGAACGAUGGAGCGUUCGGAUCGCUUUACGCGAGGGCUGCAGCAUGGGAUAGGCUGCCACGUCUGCAGGGAGCUGUCUGCUGGUGCUCGUCUGGAAAUCAGCCCAGGGCGGUCAGAUUCUGAACCUGUGAAGAAGGUCUGAUUUAUUGGUGCCUAUGGCAGAAAAAUAGUGUGAAGUUCUGGGAAUACUGUGGUCUUAGAACUGCUUUUGUGAGAGCUUUUGGAAACUGAACAUCAAAAAGGAGAGGGAAAUAAAUCUGUGACUCCUGUCUGCUCACUGUUCUCCCUGUGUCAGACUGCAGUAGGGAGAAAUAGGGGAGCCCCUUUGGAACUGUCAGUGUGAAAAACAUAGAAGAAAGCAGAAACCCAAGGAAGAGAAGAAGCCAUGUUCCUCAACAUGCUGUAGCUAUUCUUGGAAGAACCGUGGAGAAUGUGGAAGAACCAAUUACUGCUGAGGAAAAACUAAUGGCAGAAAGGGCUGCCCUGUGCAUUUGAGGACUGAAUUUUGCUGUUCUAGACGUCUUAUUUCUUCAAGACAGUUUCCUUGUGAUUGGCUUGUGAUCUCACUCUGUGUCUGAUUUCCCUUCUUAUCCCAGAAAUUUCUGAACUGUUUGCAUAUUCCACCCAAAAUUAACAAAGAAAUCAUAGAACCAUAGAGUCAUUUGGGUUGGAAGGGACCCUUAAAGAUCAUCCAGUCCAGCUCCUCUGCACUGAACAGGGACACCUACAGCUCCAUCAGGCUGAACAGCCCCUGCUCUCAGCCUGUCCUUGUAGGAGAGGUCUUCCAUCCCUUGGUCCAGUUUUGUGGCCCUCCUCUGCAGGAAGUGGUGGUUUUGCAGACAACGAAGCUCCUAUGUGCUUUAUGAAUAUGGCUGAAUACCUGCAAGUGCCUCAGCAAUUGAGCAAAAAGUUGCCAUGUCAUCUCCUAUUUUAACAUGCACAGAAGGGCUACUGUAAGGGAAAGCACUCACAAGUACCAGAACCACAGGAAAAUCUCCAACCAGGAUUUGCAGAACUAUUAAAAGUUUGAAAUACUAAUGUUUCUACUGUCUGCAGAUUAUUCUUUAUGAGCGGGGGACUUUUUGAACCUUAGAGGUGAAACAUUUCUUCCUGCAUCCAAAGCCAUAGCUUGACUGGACUGCUGCAGUACAAAGUGAAUUGGGACAGGGAGGAAAGGGAACUGAGGAAUGGAGAAAGGUUACAAAAGAGGAAGGUGUAGUUGCUUCCACCUUUUAACAGUGUUGCUAACAGGCAUUAGCAGAAGUGGAAGAUCAAAGGGAAAUCGUAUUCCCUGUUCAUGAAUUAACUGAUCUUCUAUCCCAUAGGGCUUCUGAGGUUGUUCGGCAGUGGGUUGAAGCCUCCUGUAGCCCUCUUUGUUAGAGUAGGUUCUGAGAAUUUGUUGUUGGUCUAUGAUCAGGCUUGUGGGCUGUGAGCUGCUGCGAUUUGUGAAGAUGUCCUUGCACUGAGAGAUAAUGAGGACGUUAACUGCGUGGAGUACAUGGUGGGACUGGAUAUUCAGAACUAAAUAAUUUGUUAAACCACUGGAUGUUUUCACAUGUCUAUAUUGCUAUGUCAGAGAAUCAUAGAAUCAUAGAAUGGCCUGGGUUGGAAAGGACCACAAUGAUCAUCUAGUUUCAACACCCCUCCCACCCCCCUGCUAUGUGCAGACCACCAGACCAGGCUGCCCAGAGCCACAUCCAGCCUGGCCUUGAAUGCCUCCAGGGAUGGGGCAUCCACAACCUCCUUGGGCAACCUGUUCCAGUGCGUCACCACCCUCUGUGUGAAAAACUUCCUCCUAAUAUCUAACAUAAACCUCCUGUCUCAGUUUAAAACCAUUCCCCCUUAUCCUAUCACUACCCACCCUCGUAAACAGCUGUUCCCCCUCCUGUUUAUACACUCCCUUCAAGUACUGGAAGGCUGCAAUGAGGUCUCCCUGGAGCCUUCUCUUCUCGAUGCUGAACAAUCCCAGUUCCCUCAACCUUCUCUCAUAGGAAAGGUGCUCCAGCCCUUUGGUCAUCUUAGUGGCGCUCCUCUGGACCCACUCCAAGAGCUCCACAUCCCUCCUGUACUGGGUCCCCAGGCCUGGAUGCAGUACUCCAGAUGGGGCCUCACAGGAGCUGAGUAGAGGGAGAUGAUCACCUCCCUCUGCCUGCUGACCACUCCUUUUUUAAUGCAGCCCAGAACACAGUUGGCCUUUUGGGCUGCAAGCGCACACUGCUGGCUCAUGUCCAGCUUCUCGACCCUCUCAUCUAUGAAAUUUAUAGCAUAUCAAAAGUUCUGCAGAUCUCAUGAUUGACCUUUUUUUGUCAUGCAGUCACAAUUAUGUACCUCUUGGGUUUGUUCUUUCUCUUUUUUUUAAUUUUUUUUUUCAUUUUUGGAAGAGCAUCCUGACAUUCCCCCAGCUUGGCAGUGUCACUUAAUACUGUCUAAGAUCUUUUAUAAAUCUCUUGAAACAGGUCAAAUUAGUUUGUGUUGAUUCCUCAGAAAAUCUGUGUAUAUAUAAAGUGUGUUGAAUGAAACAGAGGAAAUGGUAUCACCACAAAACCUUUCAGCCAAAUCUAGCCUGGAAACUUUUGCUUUAAUGCAGAGAUUCAUAAUUUCCUUCUAUAUGAAUGUUUCAUAAAGAAAAGUAUGCACUUUGUUUCCCUAAGUACAUUAAGAAAAGCAUGCCAGGAAUCAAGGUAAUUUCAGAUGAAUUACACUGCUUGGAGUCUGUUCUGCUGGAAAACACAUCGGUGUUACUUGUUAAGUACUGUGUUUCUUUUAUAUUAAACACAACUCAGCCUGCUGGAUGGUAAGUGGGAUAUUGGAAUUGGAUAAGGUGGGAUCUAUUCGUUUCUGUAGGCUGAUGGUUGUUGCUCUGUUCCAUGUAACAGUCUCAAAUUUUCCAAAGACUCCGUGCUUUAGUGAAAAUGCUGCAAGAUUGUACAAGCCAUGGGUUUUCUAUGGCCCUGGAAAAUAAGGCCAUCAUUCUCAAGUGGGACACUUACUCAUGUCUCUGAGUUCCAAUAUUAAUGUUUUUAUUAAGGCUGAAAUCAGGAAGCAGAGCAGGAGUUAACUUUGUUCUAUAACUGAUCAAUGAAAUGCAACAAUAAAGCAUUAAAGCUGGCCGAGUCAUGCUGUCAUGAAACCUUUGCUGAAAUUGGAGACUUAUGUGUGGAAGGAUGGUGGUGGCUGAAUGAAGCCGGGACUGUUUGGGCCUGGUACUCAGUUACAAGUAGCAUUUUGAAACCACAUACUGCACCACGGGAUGGCUUACGUAAGAAGUAGCGUAGUGGGUUAGUACUGGGUUAGUACUAUGUCCAUCUUGUCAUUUUUCUUAAUCCUGAUGACUACUAAAAACAAAGGCUGCAGAGGAAUUAAUUUGGGAGCUGAUGCCAUAAUCUGCAUUCCUUCUUGGCAAGAAGCCUAUUUUUGGUCUUCUAAAGAUUUACUAAAGCUCUGAAGCAUAAAGCUUGAUAUCUUUUGAAUGAAAUGGUAAUUACAUUUUCAAAUCCUUUAGGUACACUGUGAAUGUAUCUGUUCCAGCUUUAUGUAUUUGUAGAUUCCUCUUUUCAGUGUCUUGCUGUAGUGAGUUCUACUGCCAAUGUGUGCUGACUUUUUAAUUUUAAUAGAGAAACAAACAAAAAAUGUCCAUAUAUCCUCUUUUUACUGACAGGUGUUCCUGCUUAGUGUUUCAGACUCAAUAUUUCUGUGCAGGUAACCUAGAUAGCUGUUAAGCUGUCCCACUUACAGACAGUAAAAAGGGUCCUGGGUUCAGCUUGACAUCAUGAUGCCCAGUGGGAAAAGCCUGAGUUUAGCUGGCUUAACCUUAUGUUACAUAGACCUGGGACAGCAGGACUCCAGUCAGUUUACAGACAUGGUUUAAUGGUUUGUAUUUUCCCAUAUCCUCAUCAAAGUAAGUUCUGGUAACAGCCAUCAGGUGUGUCUUUGAGCACUGACACUUUGUGUUGUUGGUGAAGAUUCUCAGUCUCUGCAUUAAUAGCCCACGUGCAUGGCUGAAAUGGCAGCUUCUCAAAUGCAACAUACUACUUGUUCUGGCCUGCACAGUGAAAUGCAGCUUUCACCAAACAGAUGAUGUUGAACUUCCAUAAGAAAUGUCUUUGCUUCUUCUGCACUGUAUGGCAAUGGGACGUCUGACUUUUCGGGUGCUUUGUUUUUUAGAACAGACAAACAAACGAACAAAAAACCAAGAUGUGUUUGGACUUCACUGAUUUCAUGCACUUAGUGAACUGUGUGCUAGACUUACUGCUGUUGAACCCGAAGAGGUGACCAUUUGCUAUGAGUUAAUAAAGUUUUAUGCUGUCUCCUGUUUUUCUGUCCUUUCCUUUCUGACAUGGAACAGUGCAAAAGGAACAUACUGGGAAUGAUUUGAUCUUGGGCAACUGGCUGUAGGCAGCACUGCUUGAGCGGGGGGUUGGACCUGAUGAGCUCCAGAGCUCCUUUCCUCCCUCAAGCUUUCUGCCAUUCUGUGGGUUUUCCCUUGCAGUUUUUAAUAGUGCUCGUUUGCUUCUUGGAGAGAAAUGUAUUUUAACAUAUGCUAGAAUGAAAACUAUGGUCUAUGCUACUGUGUUGUGUGCUUAAUCCUGAAAAAGAGAGAAUCUCCUCAUCCUGCAGAUUAUUGUUUAAUAAGGAUUCA